UGGGGAAUCUUCCGCAAUGGACGAAAGUCUGACGGAGCAACGCCGCGUGAGUGAAGAAGGUUUUCGGAUCGUAAAACUCUGUCUUUUGGGGCGAACGUGAGUAUGGUGAACAAUCAUAGUCAGUGACGGUACCAAAGGAGGAAGCCACGGCUAACUACGUGCCAGUAGCCGCGGUAAUACGUAGGUGGCAAGCGUUGUCCGGAAUUAUUGGGCGUAAAGAGCGCGUAGGCGGGAUAGUCAGUCUGUUGUAAAGUGCGGGGCUCAACCCCGUGAUGGCAAUGGAAACAGCUAUUCUUGAGUGCAGGAGAGGAAAGUGGAAUUCCCAGUGUAGCGGUGAAAUGCGUAGAUAUUGGGAGGAACACCAGUGGCGAAGGCGACUUUCUGGACUGUGUCUGACGCUGAGGCGCGAAAGCCAGGGGAGCGAACGGGAUUAGAUACCCCGGUAGUCCUGGGCCGUAAACGAUGGGUACUAGGUGUGGGAGGUAUCGACCCCCUUCCGUGCCGGAGUUAACGCAAUAAGUACCCCGCCUGGGGAGUACGGUCGCAAGACUGAAACUCAAAUGAAUUGAC
rnacentral:rRNA from 1 species